rnacentral:rRNA from 1 species
CCUACGGGAGGGCAGCAGUGGGGGAAGUUUUUAGGUACAAUGGACGGCAAGUCUGAUCCAGCCAUGCCGCGUGCGGGAAGAAGGCCUUCGGGUUGUAAACCGCUUUUGUCAGGGAAGAAACGGGUUUCUCUAAUAAAGAGACCUAAUGACGGUACCUGAAGAAUAAGCACCGGCUAACUACGUGCCAGCAGCCGCGGUAAUACGUAGGGUGCAAGCGUUAAUCGGAAUUACUGGGCGUAAAGCGUGCGCAGGCGGUUAUGCAAGACAGAUGUGAAAUCCCCGGGCUCAACCUGGGAACUGCAUUUGUGACUGCAUGGCUAGAGUACGGUAGAGGGGGAUGGAAUUCCGCGUGUAAGCAGUGAAAUGCGUAGAUAUGCGGAGGAACACCGAUGGCGAAGGCAAUCCCCUGGACCUGUACUGACGCUCAUGCACGAAAGCGUGGGGAGCAAACAGGAUUAGAUACCCUGGUAGUCCACGCCCUAAACGAUGUCAACUGGUUGUUGGGAAGGGUUUCUUCUCAGUAACGAAGCUAACGCGUGAAAGUUGACCGCCGNGGGAGGUACGGCCGCGAGGUAGAACGUACAAAGGAAGUAGAGGCGNGAGAGNGACGAGGACGACACGAGGGAGGAGG